AAGGUGGGCGCAUAGGUGUGGGUUUCCUUCCCGGNAUCCGUGCCGUAGCUAACGCAUUAAGCGCCCCGCCUGGGGAGUACGGCCGCAAGGCUAAAACUCAAAGGAAUUGACGGGGGCCCGCACAAGCGGCGGAGCAUGUGGANUAAUUCGAUGCAACGCGAAGAACCUUACCUGGGUUUGACAUACACCGGACCGCCCCAGAGAUGGGGUUUCCCUUGUGGUCGGUGUACAGGUGGUGCAUGGCUGUCGUCAGCUCGUGUCGUGAGACGUUGGGUUAAGCCCCGCACCGAGCGCANCCCCNNCCCC
rnacentral:rRNA from 1 species